rnacentral:lncRNA from 1 species
CAGGGUGGUUGACACCAGGCUUUAACUUAGUCUGGUCCCAGACCUGUUUGUGCUUUCAGAGGGAAACAGGGUGGUUGACACCAGGCUUUAACUUAGUCUGGUCCCAGACCUGUGUAUGCUGUCAUGACAACUUCUUGUUGCCAUUGUCCUGCGGCAGGUGGCUUCAUUCCUAGACGACAUGCAGUCCUCAACCAGUCAAUGCAGACAGAAUCAUCGCACUAUCUGAUGUAAGACAAUGCCUUGUCGGAGACGGCACGACCUUAUCUGGAACCAGGCUAAGGUCAAUGACAACAGGACCAGAUCUGGAACCAGGUUUAUGUCAACAGAACCAGAUCUGGAACCAGGUUUAUGUCAAUGACAACAGGACCAGAUCUGGGACCAGGUCAAUGUCUACAGGACCAGAUCUGGAACCAGGUCAAUGACAACAGGACCAGAUCUGGAACCAGGUUUAUGAUAACAGGACCAGAUCUGGAACCAGGUUUAUGAUAACAGGACCAGAUCUGGAACCAGGUUAAGGUCAAGAGGGUGGAAGAUACAAGGCUGUUUGUUUCUUCAGCGGAGAAUAAAACUUGUAAAAAAUACAACUGGA